CCUACGGGGGGCAGCAGUGGGGAAUAUUGGACAAUGGGGGCAACCCUGAUCCAGCCAUGCCGCGUGUGUGAAGAAGGCCCUUGGGUUGUAAAGCACUUUCAGUGAGGAAGAACGCCUGGUGGUGAAUACCCAUCAGGAAAGACAUCACUCACAGAAGAAGCACCGGCUAACUCCGUGCCAGCAGCCGCGGUAAUACGGAGGGUGCGAGCGUUAAUCGGAAUUACUGGGCGUAAAGCGCGCGUAGGUGGCUUGAUAAGCCGGUUGUGAAAGCCCCGGGCUCAACCUGGGAACGGCAUCCGGAACUGUCAAGCUAGAGUGCAGGAGAGGAAGGUAGAAUUCCCGGUGUAGCGGUGAAAUGCGUAGAGAUCGGGAGGAAUACCAGUGGCGAAGGCGGCCUUCUGGACUGACACUGACACUGAGGUGCGAAAGCGUGGGUAGCAAACAGGAUUAGAUACCCUGGUAGUC
rnacentral:rRNA from 1 species